rnacentral:rRNA from 1 species
UACGUAGGUGGCGAGCGUUAUCCGGAUUUACUGGGUGUAAAGGGAGCGCAGGUGGCAUGGCAAGCCAGAAGUGAAAACCCGGGGCUUAACCCCGCGGAUUGCUUUUGGAACUGUCAGGCUGGAGUGCAGGAGGGGCAGGCGGAAUUCCUGGUGUAGCGGUGAAAUGCGUAGAUAUCAGGAGGAACACCGGUGGCGAAGGCGGCCUGCUGGACUGUAACUGACACUGAGGCUCGAAAGCGUGGGGAGCAAACAGG